rnacentral:rRNA from 1 species
GACGAACGCUGGCGGCGUGCUUAACACAUGCAAGUCGAACGAAGAGCGAUGGAAGCUUGCUUCUCUCAAUCUUAGUGGCGGCCGGGUGAGUAACGCGUAAUCAACCUGCCCUUCAGAGGGGGACAACAGUUGGAAACGACUGCUAAUACCGCAUACGCUCUAACCUCGGCAUCGAGGAAAGAUGAACGGUGGCCUCUGUGGAUAAGCUGUCACUGAAGGAGGGGAGUGCGGCAGAUGGGCUAGUUGGCGGGGUAACGGCCCAGCAAGGCGAUGAUCAGUGGCCGGUCUGAGAGGAUGAACGGCCAGAUUGGGACUGAGACACGGCCCAGAGUCCUACGGGAGGCAGCAGUGGUGAAGCUUCCGCAAUGGACGAAAGACUGACGGAGCAACGCCGCGGGAGUGAUGACGGCCGUCGGGUUGGAAAGCUCGGUUAAUCGGGACGAAAGGCCUUCUUGCGAAUAGGGAGAAGGAUUGACGGUACCGGAAUAGAAAGCCACGGCUAACUACGUG